UCCGUAGGCGGAUUGACAAGUCAGAGGUGAAAUCCCACAGCUUAACUGUGGAACUGCCUUUGAAACUGUUAGUCUUGAGUUAUAUGGAAGUAGAUAGAAUGUGUAGUGUAGCGGUGAAAUGCAUAGAGAUUACACAGAAUACCGAUUGCGAAGGCAGUCUACUACGUAUAUACUGACGCUAAUGGACGAAAGCGUGGGGAGCGAACAGGAUUAGAUACCCUGGUAGUCC
rnacentral:rRNA from 1 species